rnacentral:rRNA from 1 species
CGGCCUACGGGGCGCAGCAGCGAGGAAUAUUGGUCAAUGGGCGGGAGCCUGAACCAGCCAAGCCGCGUGAGGGAAGAAGGUACAGCGUAUCGUAAACCUCUUUUGUCAGGGAACAAAGGCGGGGACUAGUCCCCGGAUGAGGGUACCUGAAGAAAAAGCAUCGGCUAACUCCGUGCCAGCAGCCGCGGUAAUACGGAGGAUGCGAGCGUUAUCCGGAUUUAUUGGGUUUAAAGGGUGCGCAGGCGGCCUGUUAAGACAGCGGUAAAAGACCGGGGCUCAACCCAGGCGAGCCGCU